GUAUUAUUUUGUAAUGAUUUAAACCUUUUUUCAGAAUAUCACUAAUCAGUAAAAAAAUGUUCUUUGCCUGCAGGGUGGGGUUCAUUUCUUUUGUUCCUGAGAGCUGAAUAGGAGAAAGGGACAUUUCAGCUUUUCUUGAUAAAGAUUAUAUCAUCUUACUUACACUGUGAGACAAGAAUAAUUAUUGAAAAUUAAGAGCUCUACAGAUACCCAUUGGGAGACCUAAACUUCGUGUUCAGGAAAUGUCCCUAGUCCCCUUGGGGUUAUUGUUAAAAAAUAGCAUGCCUGGUAGUGCUUCCUGACUGCACCAUAUUCUGUUACCUUGCCUCAGUAUCAUAAAGAGCCUGAAGCUGAGAAAUUGUGUUGAAGUUCCUCUGGGUUUACAUUCUUGGAACUUUUCCUAGAGCAAUUUCAUGACUUAAUUUGCAUUUGGUGUUAGAAAAUUUAUAAGACUCUGGUGCUUUGUUACUUAUACCUAGAUUUUGAAAGGAAAAAGAAUGAAUGCCUGUUAAAUUUAAAAUAAAGUUGUAGCCUUUUCCUAUAAAAAUGGAUGU
rnacentral:lncRNA from 1 species